rnacentral:misc_RNA from 1 species
AAAUAAAUAAUAAUAAAUUAAAGAAAAAAAAAAUGGAUUCGCCCGUCAUCGUGGAUACAGCAUCCAAAUUCGGACAAGGGAUCCCUUGAUGCGCCGACGCUAAUAAUAAACCUCGGAAAGAAAGAAAGAGUGAGAGAGAGAGAGAGAGAGAAAGAGAAUCUUUUCUUAGAGAAAGAGAGAGGGAGAGAGAGAGAGAGAGAGAGAACCGACCAACUCUGUCGGUCCAAUUGAGGUCACAAUAGCACCGUCAUGUAUUAUAUGUGUUCUUUCUCACAAAAGGAGGUGCUAGAAACGUUUAGACUAUCGCGCUAUGUUUCCUUCCUUUGAACAGUCGUCUUCUAUUUGGUUCGAUCGAUUUCUUCUUCUCGGGCAUCUUCGAUCGGUACCAGGAUCUUUCGUACAA